AUGUUAGAAGGCCGGUACCCUGGAGGCGUCGGAAGACGUGGAGAUGCUGGAAGACGAAGAGAUGCCGGAAGACGCGGAGAUGCAGGAAGACGCAGAGAUGUAGGAAGACGCAGAGAUGCUGGAAGACGAGCAGAUGCUGGAAGCCCUGGAGAUGCUGGAAGCCCUGGAGAUGUAGGAAGACAAGGAUUUUCUGGAAGACGUGGCUUAGUUGGAAGACGUGGAUUUUCUGGAAGCCAUGGAUUUGAUGGAAGACAUGGAUUUUCUGGAAGACCUGGAGGUCACUGGAAGACGUCGAUUUGCUGGAAGACCUGGAGUUGUUGGAAGACUUGGAGUUGCUGGAAGACCUGGAGUUGUUGGAAGACCUUGACACUGGCGCCAUUGGAAACCCUGGACAUUGGAGACAUUGCAAGCACAGGAUGUUGGAGACACUGGAAGCCUUGGAUUUUGUGGACAUUGGUUAUUCUGGACAUUGGAGACUUUGGAGACCUUGAAUGUUGGAAUUCAUGGGUACCGGAAGCCCUGAAUACUAGAGACAUCGUAAGUCCUGUACCUUGGAAGCCCUAA
rnacentral:lncRNA from 1 species